UGCGCAGGCGGAAUAAUUAGUCAGUGGUGAAAUCUUCCGGCUCAACCGGGAAACUGCCAUUGAUACUGUUAUUCUUGAGUAUAGUUGUAGUGGGCGGAAUAUAGCAUGUAGCGGUGAAAUGCUUAGAUAUGCUAUAGAACACCGAUCGCGAAGGCAGCUCACUAAACUAUAACUGACGCUCAGGCACGAAAGCGUGGGGAGCAAACAGGAUUAGAUACCCUGGUAGUCC
rnacentral:rRNA from 1 species